AGCGAACGCUGGCGGCAGGCUUAACACAUGCAAGUCGAGCGGGCAUCUUCGGAUGUCAGCGGCAGACGGGUGAGUAACACGUGGGAACGUACCCUUCGGUUCGGAACAACUCUGGGAAACUGGAGCUAAUACCGGAUACGCCCUUAUGGGGAAAGGUUUACUGCCGAAGGAUCGGCCCGCGUCUGAUUAGCUAGUUGGUGGGGUAACGGCCUACCAAGGCGACGAUCAGUAGCUGGUCUGAGAGGAUGAUCAGCCACACUGGGACUGAGGCACGGCCCAGAAUCCUACGGGAGGCAGAAGUGGGGAAUAUUGGACAAUGGGCGCAAGCCUGAUCCAGCCAUGCCGCGUGAGUGAUGAAGGCCUUAGGGUUGUAAAGCUCUUUUGUCCGGGACGAUAAUGACGGUACCGGAAGAAUAAGCCCCGGCUAACUUCGUG
rnacentral:rRNA from 1 species